CCUACGGGGGGCAGCAGUGAGGAAUAUUGGUCAAUGGUCGGGAGACUGAACCAGCCAAGCCGCGUGAGGGAUGAAGGUGCAGAGUAUCGUAAACCUCUUUUGUCAGGGAACAAAGGCGGGGACGCGUCCCCGGAUGAGUGUACCUGAAGAAAAAGCAUCGGCUAACUCCGUGCCUGCAGCCGCGGUAAUACGGAGGAUGCGAGCGUUAUCCGGAUUUAUUGGGUUUAAAGGGUGCGCAGGCGGGCUGUUAAGUCAGCGGUCAAACCCCGGGGCUCAACCCCGGCCCGCCGUUGAAACUGGCAGUCUCGAGUGGGAGAGAAGUAUGCGGAAUGCGCGGUGUAGCGGUGAAAUGCAUAGAUAUCGCGCAGAACUCCGAUUGCGAAGGCAGCAUGCCGGCUCCACACUGACGCUGAGGCACGAAAGCGUGGGGAUCGAACAGGAUUAGAUACCCGGGUAGUC
rnacentral:rRNA from 1 species